rnacentral:rRNA from 1 species
UACGAAGGGGGCUAGCGUUGUUCGGAAUUACUGGGCGUAAAGCGCGCGUAGGCGGUUUUGCAAGCCAGAGGUGAAAUGCCUGAGCUCAACUCGGGAAUGGCCUUUGGGACUGCGAGGCUUUGAGGACUGGAGAGGUGAGUGGAAUUCCCAGUGUAGAGGUGAAAUUCGUAGAUAUUCGGAAGAACACCAGUGGCGAAGGCGACUCACUGGCCCGAUACUGACGCUGAGGCGCGAAAGCGUGGGGAGCAAACAGG